rnacentral:rRNA from 1 species
ACUCCUACGGGAGGCAGCAGUGGGGAAUAUUGCACAAUGGGCGCAAGCCUGAUGCAGCAACGCCGCGUGAGGGACGACGGCCUUCGGGUUGUAAACCUCUUUUAGCAGGGAAGAAGCGAAAGUGACGGUACCUGCAGAAAAAGCGCCGGCUAACUACGUGCCAGCAGCCGCGGUAAUA